UACGGAGGGGGCUAGCGUUGUUCGGAAUUAUUGGGCGUAAAGCGCACGUAGGCGGCUUUGUAAGUUAGAGGUGAAAGCCCGGGGCUCAACUCUGGAAUUGCCUUUAAGACUGCAUCGCUAGAAUUGUGGAGAGGUAAGUGGAAUUCCGAGUGUAGAGGUGAAAUUCGUAGAUAUUCGGAAGAACACCAGUGGCGAAGGCGACUUACUGGACACAUAUUGACGCUGAGGUGCGAAAGCGUGGGGAGCAAACAGG
rnacentral:rRNA from 1 species